GAUGAACGCUGGCGGCGUGCCUAAUACAUGCAAGUCGAGCGAACAGACGAGGAGCUUGCUCCUCUGACGUUAGCGGCGGACGGGUGAGUAACACGUGGAUAACCUACCUAUAAGACUGAGAUAACUUCGGGAAACCGGAGCUAAUACCGGAUAAUAUAUUGAACCGCAUGGUUCAAUAGUGAAAGACGGUUUUGCUGUCACUUAUAGAUGGAUCCGCGCCGCAUUAGCUAGUUGGUAAGGUAACGGCUUACCAAGGCAACGAUGCGUAGCCGACCUGAGAGGGUGAUCGGCCACACUGGAACUGAGACACGGUCCAGACUCCUACGGGAGGCAGCAGUAGGGAAUCUUCCGCAAUGGGCGAAAGCCUGACGGAGCAACGCCGCGUGAGUGAUGAAGGUCUUCGGAUCGUAAAACUCUGUUUUUAGGGAAGAACAAAUGUGUAAGUAACUAUGCACGUCUUGACGGUACCUAAUCAGAAAGCCACGGCUAACUACGUG
rnacentral:rRNA from 1 species